rnacentral:tRNA from 1 species
GGCAUUGUAGCUCAAUCGGUAGAGCGCACGGUGGGGAAACGCCAUCGAUGGUCGUUGCUGGUUCAAGCCUAGCCAAUGCCGCCA